ensembl:lncRNA
AAAGAAAACGGUUAACAAAAAAUGGGCGGCCCUUUUGAAGAUGCGUUAGAGGCGCCGCCAUCCGCGACGGUAAAGCCAUUUGGCUGGCCUUGGCCCCAGCCCGGUGCGGGGGCGGGAAACGGCCGGGUUGGGGGCGCGGGAGUUCUGGGCGGGUGUCCCAGCCCCGGGCCUGUCCGGCGGGCAGACCGCGGGACGCCGCGCUAGAUGCCCGCGGGGAGCGCGGAGAGCUGGAGGGAGGCCCAAAGCCAACCCGUCUGCAACGAAGUCGCGCGUCUGGAACGAAGGCAGCUCAUUUGGUUUCUCCAGACCUUUCCAGACCCUCGCACGGAACCUAGGGCGUGUCGCCCAAGUCUCCAUCGCCCAGCCCCAGACGGAAGCCACUGGUAGGACGUGGUUGGAGUGGGAGCAGCACCUAGCGAGCACUGACGAAGUGGCACCCAGCACGGCACCUGGCACACAGGCUAAAUGGUGGCACGUGGAAUAAAUGGAUGAGGUUUAAUGCUGAUUGGACCAUUAGCAUCUCCAGAGCUACAUGCCUCUCCCCUCGGUGGCUGUGGGUGUGGAGACUCAGCAAAGCCUGAAGAAUGAAAACAGUGGGCACUCAGAAAAGAGGAUGGCCAGGGAGGGGCCGUAGGACGCCAGUCACACUCCUGAGGACUUCAAAAGAUGGCUGUCCUUUCUGUCAGCUGGCGAAAAACUCAUUUCCCCUCACCCUCACCCUCUCCUCUGCCUGUCUUAGAGGCCUGUUUGUUUUCUUAUUUGUACUGCCUAGGGUGAGUUCAUGGCCACAACUGACUCACCACUCUUUCCAAGAGACUUGGGGAAGGAAAUAGGGGUUGCUUGGCUGGGGCCUCUGCCCACUAGCCCGGGGACUUUCAGAGCAGGGCCAGGGGGAACAUCGGGGUCUAUUCUGGGCUGUGUGAGCACCUCAAGCCAUUCACCCUCCCCAAACCUGCAAGGCCGAGGAGUCUUCUUUCACGGUAAUUGUCUAGUGGCCAGUCUCCUACCUCAAAUAAGAGGCCUCUCUCCUCAUCUAAAAGUUCUCCCUUCCCUUUGCCAAGGUCGAUUAAAAAGAAAGUUGGAGCUUUGGAGGGGCCCUUGGCAUCUCCCUGGGAAUCGGAGUCACCGCAG